UGAAUUUUGUGACCUGUUUGGGCACAUUUUGCUCAAAAGCUUUUGCAGAUCUUAAUGAUGGAGGCUUUCUUGCGUGAGCUGGUGCUGACAGCACAACCAUGAAUCAUCGCUCUUCCACUUUACUCAUCCAGUGCUCUCUACCUCCCGUCUCCCUCCAUGCUCCUUCUCCCCUGCUCCCCUCUCAUUACAGAAGGAUUUCAGGAGCCAACAACAAACCUCUUUUAGAGGAGUAGAUCAAUACACAGACAGCCCUCACAUCUGCUCAUUUCUCUGAUAAAGCCUCACCACUACCAUCAGUACUCACACACAAUGCACACCUCAUAUGAGCUUCUAAUGCCCACUGGUGCCCUAUUUUAAUGAUCUACAUCCACUACACAGAGGAGGAAACCACUGAGGAGCAACAAUAGUUGCACUACUUUUUAUCCCAAAAUGUCUUGUUUCCCAGAAAAAAUAUAUAAACAUAAUAAGACUGGUUUUCAGUGAUUAUCUCACUCUUGAUUUUAUUGUUUUUGGUGAAUUUUGUCUUGUUUUAAGCAUUGUGCUUAAAAGUGUAGCCUCUUUAUUGCAUAUUAUAGUCAGGCUGACUGAAAGUAUUUACAUAAUUAUACCAAGUUUCAGGCGUAAACAAGCCAUCUUUUUAAUUAGACAGCAGCUAUGUGCAAAUAGUGAUAGAUGCUAUUUACACUAAGGGUAAUGCGUCUUGGCUGACCACUUGUGAUUGGAAAAUGCAUCUUUUAAUACCAGGUGGAAACAGGCUUACUCUCUCGCUCUCUUUAUUUCUGGUAUAAUGUAUAUAAUUUGCGGGCGUCAGUGAGCUGCUAGUAAUAUGCGGGAGAUUCCUGGACCUACUGGGAGAGGGGGGAUGCUGUCAUUGUAUUGUAGUAUAUUAUAAAACAGUAUGCAAUAAAAAUUACAUAUUCAGUG